rnacentral:lncRNA from 1 species
UUUUUUUUUUUUUCUUUUUUUUGUUAGAGACAGGGUCUCGCUCUGCUGCCCAGGCUGGAGUGCAGUGGUGUGAUCAUAGCUCACUGCAGCCUCCAACUCCUGGGCUCAGGGGAUCCUCCCCACUUCAGCCUCCCCAGUAGCUGGGACCACAAACAUGUGCCACCACACCUGGCUAAUUUUUAAAUUUUUGGUAGAGACAGGGUCUCACUAUGUUUCCCAGGCUUGCCUUGAAUUCCUGGCCUCAAGAAAUCUUCCUGCUUUGGUCUCCCAAAGCACUGGGAAUAUAGUCAUGAGCCACUGCACCUGCACCCCCCACCCUCCACCGUUUUAUAAUAAGGAAACUGAGGACCAGGCAGGGAAUGAGACCUGACCAGCAUGUCAGUGGCAGAGCCGAGGCUGGGGGCUGAAGGCCAGCCAGUGCCCAAGCUGCAGUCCUGCAGCACCUGCAGAACAGCAACUGUGAACAGUGGUCCCCUGCCCACCUGCAGAGUCCCCAUGUUGCUCCUGAGCUUCCUCCUACCUCAGGGGGCCUUCCUAGUGAUUUAUUCCCCUGAGUUGUCGGUGAGGUCAGGCUGACCUGGCACGUACGUGUCAUGAUUUACUUCCUCCUCAUCCUCUGCUUCCAGAAUUAUAAGAGUCAUCACCAUCACCAUCACUGCCAUAUUAAUAAUGGCUCAUGUCUGCUCAGCUCUCAGAAUUUUGGAAGCACUAAUCCAUCCAUCAGCUCAUCCAAGCUGUAUGACUGCUCUGGGAAGGCGUUUCGCAGACAAUGGCACUAAGGAUCAGAGAGGGCAAGUGACCAGCCCCAGGUCACUGGGCGAGGCUGGGGGCAGUCUCCCAGAAGGAAGAAGCUGUACCACAUGCUUAGGAGAUCGGGCAAGGUAACAGGGUUUAGGACAGUCCUGCUAGGAGGUUUCUUGUGUCAACUAAAACUAAAAUCCUAAGCCCCCCAAUUCACUGAAUGGAUAACCCACCUCUUGGCCAAGGGGACCCCAGAGAAACCUUUAAAAACUGAGUUUUUGGCCAUGAAGGGACAAGAGACACACCUCGUUUAUCCCCCUCCCUUUUGUGGCUUAGACACUACACCUGAGCAGCAUUAAUGUUAAAACAGAGAUCAUAAGACUGACAGAAUGGACUCUCUGUGGCAAUAAGAUGCUGAACUAUAAACAAGACCUAGGGUCACUCCAGGCAAGGGUUAAGUCCCACACCCAUACACUAAAGAAUAAACUAUGUUCUCACCGCCACAACAUUUCUCUUUUUCUCUAGCAGCUAAAUAAGCCCUGGUCUUGAGAUAAGCAAUGGUAAAACAAUUUGCAGCUCCUCCACCGCUAGACACUAACUAACUGAUGCCCGUUCCACCAGCCAUAACUAUAGGUCUAAUUGGACUAGAGACUGAUUUCAGGAAUUUUUUCCGAUAAGAGACCACUGACCAUGGAUGG